AUGUAUAUAUUUUCGAUUCUGCUAGAGAUCCACGUCGAACAGAUUAUGCAUGGGGAAUCUUGAGUUUGUAAGUUCUUUUGCUUACAAAUUACAUUAGUCUUUAAGAAACCUAAGCCAAAAUCAUAUUCAUGAGUACCCAUGUUUCGUUAAUUUUCUAGGGCAUACCAAGUGUACAAGUGCAAUGGUGGGAAUUGUCCGAAUAAAACGAGUUUUAAGUCGUGUAAACCCAUUCAUAUAGAGUGUGCUCAACAAAUCGGCGGAACUGAGUGUGGCUAUUACGUUAUGAAGUUCAUGUUAGAGAUAGUCACGUUACAACAUGACUAUGAAGGCCGGCUAGAUGAGGUCUAUACUCCGAGGACUGCGCCUUAUGCUAGUGAGGAAAUUGAUGUGGUUCGUGAGCAAUGGGCGAAGUUUUUUACCACCAAGUAUUUAUUAUUGACCUGAUGGCGCUUGAUCGUGUUGGUUUAGAUGUUAUAGAACAAUCUUUUAUGUUAAAAUGUAUGCGUACGUUGAAAUUGGAACGUAAAUGUAUUUAAAUGUAUCGGUAUGUGCACUUUUGGUUUUGGGAUAUAUACAAAACUCCAGUUGUU